CCGCCGUACGGGCCUAUAAAGAGGCUCUCUUCAUCCCCUGAAGGUCCCUACCUCGCCUCCUCCCAGCCCUCCCCACUCAUCUCCGCCGUCCCUAUACCCAUCUCCUCUCCGCGUGACCCAGAUGAGGAACCAUCGAUGAUGGCGUACGGGAAGCACGCAUGGAGGGCGCUGCCGAGGCGACGGCGCCGGGGACGGAAGCUACCUCUACCGACAACAGCAUGAAUCAUCAAGGGCCGCGGCGCUGCCAUCCCAGUUGUCGGCGUCCUCUUCUGCGCCCCGGCCACAGAGGAGGACUGCCACAACUGUUGUGGAUCCUCAUCGUUCGUGUUGUGCAAGGACGGGGGUCGUCCUCAUUGUGCGAGGGCAGCACAUCGGGAGCUGCAACAACUAGGUUGCCGCACUCCUUGUUGACGCCCUUCUGAUCCUGUUGAACGCCGCGGUCAACGACUACGUGGGAAGAGCUGCGACAUGCUGCUUCACCUUCAAUGGCUUUUCGCGCUGGUCAAAAGACUGCAGGCAUGCAGAAUACAUCUCUGAAGGACCUAGCCAUGACUAUUACUGUGCAUGUGUGAACUCCUAUGAUAUGGGAAUUUGGAAGCCAGGAAACAUGGGCACUAUUUCAGUUGGAUUUUGUUGUAGUAGAUUGCCAGAAAACUAUUAUGGAGGGGGACGUGUGGUGCAGAACCGAAUAGACAAAGAACAUGCUCAAAGAGGGCUCUAUCUAUCGAAUCUCAAAUUUUGAUGUUUAAGUGCCAAAAAGAUAUACAAAGCAGUGGAUUUUCCUACAAAGAUUUGCUUCACCCAGAGAACAUUGCCUAUGAAAAGGCCUCAACCAGACAAUUUUCCCAGAUUUGUCUACAGUAUGCAUCCUUUUACAGUGUUGGAGAAUAGAGCAAAAUAUACCUCUGUCAAGUAAAUGUGUUGACAAGUACUUAAAAUGUAGUGUACACAUGCAAAAAUAAAGGUCGAUGCGUACAUAUUUUUGGAAUCCAUAGAUAUCGUUGGUUUGAUAACAUUGGUUAGUGAGAUUCUACCCCUGGCAGGUACAAACAAGGGAGACAGAUUUAUAUCGGUGAUGGAAAGUACAAUUAUUUGGAAGCAUUGUCUAACAUACGCAUAAUAAAGGUUAAAUGACUAUAAACUGGCUAAUUCCUGCAGCCAAUCUGCUGUUGGAAGAAUCGGUUGAGGCAUUAAAUGUUCAAGGCUUACGCUCGGCUUCUACCAACGAACCGACCAUUGUUGUGUUUGUUGGCAUGCUGGGUAUGCUAGCAGACAAGUAUACUUCAACUGCGGCAAGACUUUGAUGACGCGGAACCGUCAACAUGUUUGUCUGACCUCGUCGGCGAAAUCCGCUCCAUGAUUACCUCCCAGCGAGACCGAGCGUGCUUCACCGCCGUUUGUUAAGUCAUGUCUACGGGAGAGAUAAAGAAUAAAGAUAUGCAUCAUGUAGUGCUUACGUCUGAGAAUUAAUGUUCUUGAUUUACCUUGUUGUUCCAAAGGACUGAUUCUACGGGAUAGAUAAAGAAUAAAGAUAUGCAUCAUGUAGUGCUUACGCAAAAAUUGCCAGGAAGGUUUUAGUUCAUCUUUAGGGAGCCUAUUGAAACAAAAGGUAACCAGUUGCACUAGCGAAUAGUAAUCUGAAAAGAUACCUAGAUGUUCUCAUGGCAAGUCAACAUAAGCUACCCUGUUAUCCUUUUUCGAUAAUCGAAAAAUGAAGUAUUUUGGAGAGCCCAUGUCUGAUUAGGUUUGCUUCUUGUGUUUUCGGAGAGCCCAUGUCUGAUUAGGUUGGUUUCUUCUGUUUUCGAUUGGUUUACUUGUUUGCAUAGGGAGGGAAAAGGAGUUAAGAGACAAAGAGAAGGCUCAGCACCUCUAUUUGCAUGUCAAAUCUGAAGUAGAGAGCUGCAUCAAGUAUCUGAAGGAGAAGA